GGGCGAUUAGCUCAGCUGGGAGAGCACCUGCCUUACAAGCAGGGGGUCAGAAGUUCGAGUCUUCUAUCGCCCACCA
rnacentral:tRNA from 1 species